GUGGUGUCGCAGAGUUGGACGUGACUGAGCGAGUUCACUUUCACUUUAUAAUCCUACAAAGAAAAAAAGGGAUCAAGUGAUGUACAUGCUUAAGGAAUUUGAGGAAAAAUGUAGAUUUUGGAGGGGAAAGAAAGGACAACUGAGUUACAACAAAAGUUAUGAAGAAUUGCAAGUACUUGUCCACUGGACAUUUCUAGCGAUCCCUUAACUCUAAAAAGUACCCUGCGGAGAGAGGCCUGGUUAGAUUGCACCGCUGACUCAAUGGACAUGACUUUGAGCAAACUGGGAGGUAGCCAAGGACGGAAGCCUGGCACGCUGCAGUCCGCGGGGUCAGAGUCAGGCACGCCUGAGUGAGUGAGCAGCAACAGAGGCCAGUGGGAGACAAGGUGUCCGUGUGCCUGUGUCCCCACCCCAGGGUCGCGGGGCUGGGAUGGGCAUGCCUGCAGGAUGGGGUCGCCUUUCCCCUGGGCCUUUGUUGUGUUCACUGUGAACUCUUCCUCAGCUUUGGCAUUUCAUUUUCCCAUGAUUUCCUUUGAUUUCUUGGCUUCUUUUAAAAAUAAAUCAUCUACAGCAGAAACUAGCACGCUGGUGGUAAAGCAACUGUACUCCAACAGAAAGGAAAAGAGCAAAGGAGCUCAUCAGAGAAGGACGGACGCCCCCUCUGUGCCCUCUCCUGAAGACAGGUCCCUCAGGCAGACCGCUGGCCCGCGGAGUCCAGGGAUCCUCCUCAUCCUUGCAUCCAGAUGUCACUCCUCUAGGACGUCACCAUUAGCACGUAGUGUAUUUGCCUGUUAGAAUCUGUGACAUAAAUGCCAUCCUUUACUCAG